rnacentral:rRNA from 1 species
CGACCAGACUCCUACGGGAGGCAGCAGUGAGGAAUAUUGGUCAAUGGCCGAGAGGCUGAACCAGCCAAGUCGCGUGAGGGAAGACGGCCCUACGGGUUGUAAACCUCUUUUGUCGGGGAGCAAAGCGAACCACGUGUGGUUCAUUGAGAGUACCCGAAGAAAAAGCAUCGGCUAACUCCGUGCCAGCAGCCGCGGUAAUACGGAGGAUGCGAGCGUUAUCCGGAUUUAUUGGGUUUAAAGGGUGCGCAGGCGGGAGAUCAAGUCAGCGGUAAAAUGUCGGGGCUCAACCCCGGCCGGCCGUUGAAACUGGUUUUCUAGAGUUGGAGAGAAGUAUGCGGAAUGCGCGGUGUAGCGGUGAAAUGCUUAGAUAUCGCGCAGAACCCCGAUUGCGAAGGCAGCGUACCGGCUCCACACUGACGCUGAGGCACGAAGGCGUGGGUAUCGAACAGGAUUAGAUACCCCCGUA